UACGUAGGGACCAAGCGUUGUUCGGAUUUACUGGGCGUAAAGGGCGCGUAGGCGGCUUAACAAGUCACUUGUGAAAUCUCCGGGCUUAACUCGGAACGGCCAAGUGAAACUGUCAAGCUAGAGUGCGGAAGGGGCAAUCGGAAUUCUUGGUGUAGCGGUGAAAUGCGUAGAUAUACGGAGGAACACCAGGGGCGAAGGCGGAUCGCUGGGCCAACACGUGACGCUGAUGGCACGAAAGCGUGGGGAUCAAACAGG
rnacentral:rRNA from 1 species